rnacentral:misc_RNA from 1 species
AAGUCGUAACAAGGUUUCCGUAGGUGAACCUGCGGAAGGAUCAUUACAGUGAUGGCUCGGGGGUGACUCGGGGGUGCCCUGCACCGGCGGAGACGCCGUGCUGCGGGUCCCCGACACCCCAUCCAAACCAAACCCCUGUGCACCUUUGGGAAGGGUGGGUGCAAGCCUGCCGUCCCGUCCACAAACUCCGAGUGUAUAGAAUGCCGCGCACGCUUGUGUCGCCUGAAAAGAAUGACAACUUUCAACAACGGAUCUCUUGGCUCUC